AUGAGUGCUCUACAGUAAGAUUGUAAACUUUAAUUAUAUGUGUCUGUUUUUGCAGUGACUCAAUGUGGAUUGUGAAGACACAGAAGGGGACGCAUUUGGAUCUUGAAUCAUGAAUGUUGAAUCUUGAUGCUCACAGAAAAGGAAGUCAACCAGACAGGCUCUGAAAAUUGAUGAAAUGGAACAAAUUAUUUGGACAAGACACUAGAAAAAUUCUACUCGGUCGGUUUUGAAAUCAUACCUCAAGAAACUUGCGAGAUCUUCGUCUGCACUGCACUAGCAUUUCAGUCGUCGCUGCCGCACCACGAUCACUCGGCGGCAUCCACAUCAUCUAGUGGUGGUGGAUCUACAUGCAAGGAGCAUGCGCACUACCACUGGAUGUGGAUGCUGGAUGAGUUGGGCAACCUCGGCCGCUCCAGUACCAACUGCCCGACCAGGUGUUGCUAACCAUAUUCGGCUACUUGCUGUCGGUUUCAGGGCAUCAGCUCUGUCGUCGCCGCCGCACCACGAUCACUCGGCGGCAUCCACAUCUAGUGGUGGUGGAUCUACAUGCAAGGAGCAUGCGCACUACCACUGGAUGUGGAUGCUGGAUGAGUUGGGCAACCUCGGCCGCUCCAGUACCAACUGCCCGACCAGGUGUUGCUAACCAUAUUCGGCUACUUGCUGUCGGUUUCAGGGCAUCAGCUCUGUUGGGGCAAACUGAGCCGCUUCGGCGAGCGGGCCAAUAAUUUCAACAUUGUUUCAAUUCCAAGUUGAUUGUUUUGAAUUAAUAUAGUCUACUGUUACAGAGAGACUAUGCCUUUUGAAAAUAUAAACGGUUACCUGAUAAGUACCUUAAUUUGUGUUAUGAAAUAUGAUUGAUAUCCAACUAUUUAAUAAAUUUCUCAAUUUGAAAGAUUCAAAUGA
rnacentral:misc_RNA from 1 species